UACGGAGGGUGCAAGCGUUGUCCGGAUUUAUUGGGUUUAAAGGGUGCGUAGGUGGCUAUUUAAGUCAGUGGUGAAAGCCUGCAGCUUAACUGUAGGACUGCCAUUGAUACUGAAUAGCUUGAGUACUGAUGAGGUAGGCGGAAUUGAUAGUGUAGCGGUGAAAUGCAUAGAUAUUAUCAAGAACACCGAUUGCGAAGGCAGCUUACUAAGGAGUUACUGACACUGAGGCACGAAAGCGUGGGGAUCAAAC
rnacentral:rRNA from 1 species